UGGCAGUUAAUGUAUCUAUGGACUUUUUC
rnacentral:piRNA from 1 species